rnacentral:rRNA from 1 species
AUUGCAGAACACAUUGAACAUCGACACCUUGAACGCAUAUGGCGGCCUCGGGUCCAUCCCGAGCCCACGCCUGUGUGAGUGUCG